CCUACGGGAGGCAGCAGUAGGGAAUAUUGCUCAAUGGGGGAAACCCUGAAGCAGCAACGCCGCGUGGAGGAUGAAGGUUUUCGGAUUGUAAACUCCUUUUGUCAGAGAAGAUAAUGACGGUAUCUAACGAAUAAGCACCGGCUAACUCCGUGCCAGCAGCCGCGGUAAUACGGAGGGUGCAAGCGUUACUCGGAAUCACUGGGCGUAAAGGGCGCGUAGGCGGGAUAGCAAGUCAGAUGUGAAAUCCUAUGGCUUAACCAUAGAACUGCAUUUGAAACUGUUAUUCUAGAGUAUGGGAGAGGUAGGUGGAAUUCUUGGUGUAGAGGUAAAAUCCGUAGAGAUCAAGAGGAAUACUCAUUGCGAAGGCGACCUGCUAGAACAUAACUGACGCUGAUGCGCGAAAGCGUGGGGAGCAAACAGGAUUAGAUACCCCAGUAGUC
rnacentral:rRNA from 1 species